rnacentral:lncRNA from 1 species
ACUUACGUUAAAAGGCAAGGUUCACAUAUACGUACAAAUUGGCUUGGCAUGUAAAUAGAACCAAUCCAUAAUGCCAAGACGACUAAUAAGCCACAAGAAAAGUAGACAUGAAACAGGAGACAUAAAUUGUAAUUAUAGAUUAUAUACAUGAUGCAUUAACAAAAUCUCCACAUGCCUCUCUACCGAAAGGGCCACCAUGUUCCGCAACAAAGAAGGAAUAGACAUGCCUAGUGCAACUAGACAUUUCUUGUAUGGAGUGCAUCACAUUCACGGAGAAAAGUUCUAACAAGGAUUUCAUUUAGUUAGGAGAUCAAAUAAACAAUAUCAUAAAUACCAUACAAGCAGGUAAGGGAUCGAGCGAGCUAAAUGGGCUGUCUUUGGUGGAAUUUGGUAGAAUAAUAAGAAUGUCUUUAAACAAGUAUAACUGAAUUUCAUUUCUAUUAUCAGUGGAACACUUGACUUCUUUGUUUCACAUACUCGAAUUUAAUAAUAAUUAUUUGUCGGGUUGUCCUAGAUUUCCGACUGCUGUAGUUAGGCUUCGCGUGUGCACAUGGCACCUCUCCCAAGGCCUCUGACACAACCACCUAUGAUUUUUGUUUUCUAAUAUCACAUAAACUGGAUCGUGAUUCUAAAACAUAAUUACAACCAUAGAAGGUAAAUGGAGCUACACUUGGUCAAACAUUACACAUUCAAUUAUAUGAAAGUGAUGUGAAGAGUUACCACGACACCGGCUACAAUAUCAAUUGAAAUUUUGUUGAUACAGUGGACGCAUAGCAAUCACUGCACUUGAAGGUGCAGCCUCAUCUAGCUUUCACUUAAUCUGAUAAAAAAACACAUGGGAAAUAAACUAAAGAUGCAAUAUAAAGAGUAUAUUAUGAUAUAAUUUGUACACGCUUGCUCCUCGCAUUACCACUGCAGUAGGUUCAUAAGAAAAGAAAAGGCAUAUCACAAACUAUAAGAAGAAGAAAUUACCAUUAUUGCAGGUCGCCUUUUUAUGCUCAACACGUUCUUUCCACAGUCCUUCUGGAAUCUUUGGGUUCACCAUCGACUUUUUUACAGUAGUAAUAAGUAACAAUAUGCACAAAUACACAUUCCAGAAAAUAUUAUUGAAAGUUUAACAUGCACCUUAUUAUAAGUCAAUUUCGAUAGAGGCAUAUGACAAUGAUGUGCAUUAUUGGCAUUUUUACCCACUACCGUCCUCCAGAUAUCUGACAGAUUGCCUCAAAACAUGCAUAGCAAGACUAUCUAUUUAUCUACAUUAAGCAAUAGAGAACUCUCGUUUUUAGGUGAGCGGCUUAUGAGAAUAGCAUAUCCUAGCUGCAAUGCAGAUGUUUCAGGCAAAAUACUUUAUUGCCACAUAAAAGGAAAACACAUAUUUGAGAAUUGCUUAUGAUAGCAACAAGCCAACAACAUAGAUCAAUGUGUUUUUUCUUAAUCAUCUUACAACUUGGAAAUACUAAUUGUCAUUGAUAUCCUAUUAGCAACAAAAUUUUGCAUCAUGAGCCCUACAGCUUGGGAUGGGCCUAAACUUGUCAAUUAUAUGUACAUAUACCCACUUUGUGACUCAAAUAAUUUCAAGCUAAUGUUAUACAGUGAUCUUUCUACCUUUCAUACUUAAGACCAUAGGAAAUAGAAACAGAAAAGAAAUAAAAACACAUUACAAUGAGACAAGUACCUUUCACGUGACACUUGAAUGUCCUGGUAUAUCAAAAUCUUCAUCAUCAUUGUCGUCGUCGUCGAUCCGUUCAACAUAAUCUUCUAAGUUCCGCAAUAACCAUCAGCAUGACAAGUUUAGAAAUAAUUUCAAAUACAAGUUUGCACAUGCGGGUACAUAUGAAAGUUGACAUAGAGGAUUACCCUGAAAGUGAUUUAUUUGAUGAGUUAUUUGUAUUCUUCAUCUAGUUCUGCUACUGUUUUUCCUCCUGUAACCACUCACAAAAUGACCAAUAUUAGAGAGAAAAUAUUUUAAGAAAAUGAUGCCACAAGACCACCAUGCCGUAAGCAAAAUAAUCUACAUAUUACCCAAAAUGUGAAGCGCUACACGUGAGGCUUUUAUCAAAUAUAGAGAAAACAAAGUAUGUGAGAUCUUGCCUUUUGAUGAGCGGAAUGCUUCAAAAUUUCAAGCAUCUGGCCAAUGGAGACUCAAGCAUGUCUAGACUGUAAACAACACAAUAAAACAAUGUUAGUAGUCAGUUAAGUCUAAAUUUUAGGUGCAUGUUCAAGUAUAGGUUAACUGAACUUAAAAGAAUGGCAAUAUGCCCAGAUCAAUACUUUCAUCGACCACAUCUCUUCUACAUUGUUCUGUUCUCUAGUUCUCAUUGCAUCUCCCAUCUCCCCUGCUUCUCGCUUCCUAUUCUCUUUAUCCACAACCUGAACAAUGGAAAAUAAACCAAUAUGAUUAAAUUGAAGCAGGCAAGAGUACCUGCAACUCUGCAAGUGGUUGCACGCUGGCAUCAAGAAAGAGCAAGAGCUUCCAGAUUGAGAAUGGCAAGGGAAAGAUCUUGGGUAAGGACUUACCAUGUCUAGGUGGGUUGUCGCUCGAAAAUCCUAUAGAUCCUCCACCCCCAUCCUCUCUCCUAGUGAUGCAGCUUUAGGGGAAAAGACAGGAGAAGGAAGUCGGCGACGGCUGGGCGAAGACGGAGGAGUCGUUCCACCACAGACAGGGGCGAUCAAGGACAGUUCUGAGAUGGGCG